rnacentral:rRNA from 1 species
AAUACCACCCUUUAAUGUUUGAUGUUCUAACGUGGACCCGUAAUCCGGGUUGCGGACAGUGUCUGGUGGGUAGUUUGACUGGGGCGGUCUCCUCCUAAAGAGUAACGGAGGAGCACGAAGGUUGGCUAAUCCUGGUCGGACAUCAGGAGGUUAGUGCAAUGGCAUAAGCCAGCUUGACUGCGAGCGUGACGGCGCGAGCAGGUGCGAAAGCAGGUCAUAGUGAUCCGGUGGUUCUGAAUGGAAGGGCCAUCGCUCAACGGAUAAAAGGUACUCCGGGGAUAACAGGCUGAUACCGCCCAAGAGUUCAUAUCGACGGCGGUGUUUGGCACCUCGAUGUCGGCUCAUCACAUCCUGGGGCUGAAGUAGGUCCCAAGGGUAUGGCUGUUCGCCAUUUAAAGUGGUACGCGAGCUGGGUUUAGAACGUCGUGAGACAGUUCGGUCCCUAUCUGCCGUGGGCGCUGGAGAACUGAGGGGGGCUGCUCCUAGUACGAGAGGACCGGAGUGGACGCAUCACUGGUGUUCGGGUUGUCAUGCCAAUGGCACUGCCCGGUAGCUAAAUGCGGAAGAGAUAAGUGCUGAAAGCAUCUAAGCACGAAACUUGCCCCGAGAUGAGUUCUCCCUGAGACUUUAGGUCUCCUGAAGGAACGUUGAAGACGACGACGUUGAUAGGCCGGGUGUGUAAGCGCAGCGAUGCGUUGAGCUAACCGGUACUAAUGAACCGUGAGGCUUAACCUUACA